AGUGAACGCUGGCGGUAGGCCUAACACAUGCAAGUCGAACGGCAGCACAGUAAGAGCUUGCUCUUACGGGUGGCGAGUGGCGGACGGGUGAGGAAUACAUCGGAAUCUACUUUUUCGUGGGGGAUAACGUAGGGAAACUUACGCUAAUACCGCAUACGACCUACGGGUGAAAGCAGGGGAUCUUCGCACCUUGCGCGAUUGAAUGCGCCGAUGUCGGAUUAGCUAGUUGGCGGGGUAAAGGCCCACCAAGGCGACGAUCCGUAGCUGGUCUGAGAGGAUGGUCAGCCACCCUGGAACUGAGACACGGUCCAGACUCCUACGGGAGGCAGCAGUGGGGAAUAUUGGACAAUGGGCGCGAGCCUGAUCCAGCCAUACCGCGUGGGUGAAGAAGGCCUUCGGGUUGUAAAGCCCUUUUGUUGGGAAAGAAAAGCAGCAGGUUAAUACCCCGCUGUUCUGACGGUAGCCAAAGAAUAAGCACCGGCUAACUUCGUG
rnacentral:rRNA from 1 species